AGCCUUCCUCCUCCUCCUCCUCCUCCUAUUACUCUGCAACAGCUUCAGCUUUUUCUUGGCCUUCCCAAAUCGAAAUAUAGACACACUUUUGGGUUCUUUAUUACCCCCUUGUCCAGUUUCCUUCUUUAGACCAUCCCUUUUUGCUGGGCUACUAGUAACUUGUUCUUGUUCUUGUUCUUCUUCUUCAUCAUCAUACCCACCACCACCACCACUGGAGGAUGGAUCUUUUAUAUCAGAGCCAGACAUAUAAAAAAAGAAUUUGAAUUAAUAAUUUGUAAGUUUAUGAGAUGAAAAAAUCAUGUGUGCACAUACUUUGGACCACAUAGCAGCAGUAGUAUAUCAAAUACAAGUUGUAAACUAGGCAAUGUGUCAGUUGUAUUAUUGUUAGUAUGUUGUACAAUAACAAGACAAAGUCGAUGCAGUAUUGGAGAAACUGUGGGAUUUUUCUCAGAGAUUGGACACAGAAGAAUGGAGAACUAACUUGGAUUAGAAAGAAAGAGAGGAUGCAAGAGAGAGGAUGAUGGAGACAGGGGGGAGGGGGUCCGAAGGCGAGAAAGGGACUGGGAAUUGUCGUCUUUACCGCCAGAGUUGUCGGGAACACGAGGUCAUAAAUUUCGACAGGAAAGGUUGCAGUUUUUCUUUUAGUUUUCCUCCUUGGAUGAGUUUGUGGUUAACCCCUAAGUUUGGAAAAAAUUGCUCUUAUGUAUAAUUAAUGUGAAAAUUUAGUCUCUUGAAAUGAAAACGAUUUUAGUUCCUUGCAUUUAAGAUGUCGACUCCCUUUCAAAUCAAUUUUAGACCAAUGACAAAU
rnacentral:lncRNA from 1 species